GACGAACGCUGGCGGCGUGCCUAAUACAUGCAAGUCGAACGCUUUUUUCAAUCAUCGUAGCUUGCUACACCGAUUGAAAAUUGAGUGGCGAACGGGUGAGUAACACGUGGGUAACCUGCCCAAAAGAGGGGGAUAACACUUGGAAACAGGUGCUAAUACCGCAUAACCAUGAUGACCGCAUGGUCAUUAUGUAAAAGAUGGUUUCGGCUAUCACUUUUGGAUGGACCCGCGGCGUAUUAACUUGUUGGUGGGGUAACGGCCUACCAAGGUAAUGAUACGUAGCCGAACUGAGAGGUUGAUCGGCCACAUUGGGACCGAGACACGGCCCAAACUCCUACGGGAGGCAGCAGUAGGGAAUCUUCCACAAUGGGCGCAAGCCUGAUGGAGCAACGCCGCGUGAGUGAAGAAGGUCUUCGGAUCGUAAAACUCUGUUGUUAGAGAAGAACAUGCGAGAGAG
rnacentral:rRNA from 1 species